rnacentral:rRNA from 1 species
UUGCAGGGUACUCGAGUGGCGAACGGGUGAGUAACACGUGGGUGAUCUGCCCUGCACUUCGGGAUAAGCUUGGGAAACUGGGUCUAAUACCGGAUAGGAACCAUCUUUAGUGUGGUGGUUGGAAAGUUUUUUCGGUGUAGGAUGAGCUCGCGGCCUAUCAGCUUGUUGGUGGGGUAAUGGCCUACCAAGGCGGCGACGGGUAGCCGGCCUGAGAGGGUGUACGGCCACAUUGGGACUGAGAUACGGCCCAGACUCCUACGGGAGGCAGCAGUGGGGAAUAUUGCACAAUGGGCGCAAGCCUGAUGCAGCGACGCCGCGUGGGGGAUGAAGGCCUUCGGGUUGUAAACUCCUUUCGCUAGGGACGAAGCUUUUUUGUGACGGUACCUAGAUAAGAAGCACCGGCUAACUACGUGCCAGCAGCCGCGGUAAUACGUAGGGUGCGAGCGUUGUCCGGAAUUACUGGGCGUAAAGGGCUCGUAGGUGGUUUGUCGCGUCGUCUGUGAAAUUCUGGGGCUUAACUCCGGGCGUGCAGGCGAUACGGGCAUAACUUGAGUGCUGUAGGGGUAACUGGAAUUCCUGGUGUAGCGGUGAAAUGCGCAGAUAUCAGGAGGAACACCGAUGGCGAAGGCAGGUUACUGGGCAGUUACUGACGCUGAGGAGCCGAAAGGCAUGGGUAGCGAACAGGAUUAGAUACCCUGGUAGUCCAUGCCGUAAACGGUGGGCGCUAGGUGUGAGGGUCUUUCUACGACUUUCGUGCCGUAGCUAACGCAUUAAGCGCCCCGCCUGGGGAGUACGCCGCAAGGCUA